CAGCUCCAGACCAGAGAAAGUUAAUGCCAAAGAUAUUAUUCGGUUCCACACUAAAACUGCGCUUUGACAAGUGUGAUUUGAGAAAUAAAACUUGUAGACCUUUACUACAGUCUCUGAGGAGAUGGACACCUCUUCUUGUUCUGGACGAUCUCCGUCUCCUACUGGGACUGUCUUCUUACCCCCUCCUAUCAUGUGGAACAGUCUCUACAAGCAGGCAGAGAUGGAGGUUCAGUUCCUGAGAGAAGAGAAGAAGACCUGUACAGAGAAGGAAGCCCACAUGCUUGAGUUGAGGGGAAGGAUCGAACGAUCCGAAAUCAGAAGAAGGAGAUGGACAGACUUCAAGUCUGCCUCUGGGAGGAGGAAAAGAAGAAGAGGAAUGGUGGAACGGAGAAGGACAAGAUCAUUGAACAUCUACAGUCUGAGACAGACCAUCUCAGAUCCCUUUUAAAAGAGGAAAGGAGGAGAAGAAGAGUAGAAAGGGAUCUAAUGAAUGAGUGGAAGGCUGAGAUCCUGAGACUGAGGGAGUCAGAGAGCCAGAGAGAGGCAGAGAGCCAGUGGGAGGCAGAGAGACAGAGGGAGGCA